rnacentral:lncRNA from 1 species
ACACUGGCCUCCUCGAGCGCGCCGCCCGCGCCCAGCGCCCCACGCCCCGCGCCCCGGGCCGUGCAGCCAGCCCUUACCUUGCAGCGCCCGGCUGUCUCCCGAUCGCUAAAGCUACUUAUCCCGGGAAAGCUCGCGCGGGACCCGGGAACGAACCCACAGACAAAAAGUGAAACUUCGGCAGGGCUGGAGCGGCUGCUGGUAUGGGAAGGCGUGUGCCCGCGAAGCCGCCGCGCAGAGCUCGCCUGGCGGGGGAGGGGAAACCCGCAGCCGGCAGUGGCUUUGCCAAAAGGUGGGCGCACUGAGGGCAUUGCAUUUCCUGGGAGGAAGAGGAGGAGACGCGGGAAUGCAGGGAGCUUGCAAAGGAGGAAGAGAAAGAGGGAGAUGUGGAGACUUUGCCCCUGCUAGAGGAAGAGGAAGGAGACGUAGGAGGAAGCGGCCGCGUCAGGGGGCUCCUGGAAAAUGGAAAAGCCUGCGUCUACUAUUAAGGCGUCAAAUUAGGGCACUGAGCUUGAGUGGAAGAGAUCCAGCCAUGAAAUCCCCUUCCAAGAUUUUCCUCGUGAGCCCCGCCCUGGAUUCCCAGCAAGACUCAAAACUUACAAGGUGUCAGAGCUGGCAAAGACCAACUUCCAACCCGUCCGCUUGGCACGUGAGGAAACUGAAGCUCUCGGAAGAGAAAUGACUUGUACAGGGUCGUCACUCAGCAGAUCGAGGAGCGGGCCCAGGCGCUCUGCCUCCCACUUGGGUUCCCGCCUCCAGGAAGGGCCCUGGCUCCCUUUUAGCCCUGAGCCUUGAAGCAGGUUAGAUGCCCGCGAGCUGUGCGGACCACCCAGUGAUUUCUACUGCUCUUGGCCCAGAGCCAGUUCCUGGAAGGUCCUGGUUGACAGCGAGCCCUGAAUAUCAAUGACAAUCAGUUGCUUCAGGGCAACUUCCUCUGUCCUGUGCUCAAAUAAAUGAAUCCCUGGAGUUUAACGUUUACUUCUGAGCCCCGCCCAGAAAGCUUGCUCUGUGCUUAUAGCUUCAAAAAAGUCUGCGAACGAGAUGAACUGGUUUGAAUACAGACAAGCCUGUCAUUGGAAGUUUUGAGUUGGAUUUUUCUUUCCCCUCUGACAUCUGUAAGGGUGAACGACGAUGAGAACCACCACUUAACUGUGUUAGGGGAUUAUGACGCGCAGCAGCCAUGGCCAGGAAAGCAUUCCAUACCCUGAGACUUCCUUUCCUUGCACUUCUCUCCUAUUAAUAUCUAAAGUAAUCCCUCACGUUAGCACAUAAUGAAAGCAGUCUCUCACCCGGCUAUUGCAUCUUCAGGACCUAAUUCCAUUCAUAACUGUUGAGAGUACACCAUGAGCUACUGAUUCAUAAAAACUCCAAAAAGUGGUUCUUCUGAGGAUGGACUUUAGUGGGAUUCUUUUGACCAGGAAUUAAGGAAAUAAUGUAAAAACACAUGUUAUUGGAUUUAUUAAGCACCUUCCUUGUGCUUAAUAAGUGUUUGAAUUCAGACAUUUCAGGGGUAAGACUACUUAACCUCUGUGUUCCUCUCAACUAUCUAAUGUACACAUACAAAAAUAUGAACAUGGCUGGGCGCGGUGGCUUACACCUGUAAUUCCAGCACUUUGGGACGCCGAGGCGGGCAAAUCACCUGAGGUCAGGAGCUCGAGCCAGCCUGGCCAACAUGGCAAAACCCCAUCUCUACCAAAAAUACAAAAAACUAGCUGGGCGUGGCGGCGAGCGCCUGUAAUCCCAGGUAUUCCGGAAGCUGAGGCAGGAGAAUUGCCUGAACCCGGGAGGCAAAGGUUUUAGUGAGCCGAGAUUGCGCCACUGCACUCCAGCCUGGGGGACAGAGCAAGACUGUUGUCAAAAAAAAAAAAUAUAUAUAUAUACAAACACAUAUAUAUACACAUAUAUAUACAUAUAUACACAUAUAUAUACAUAUAUAUACACAUAUAUAUACAUAUAUAUAUACACACACACAUAUAUAUAUACACACAUACAUAUAUAUAUAUGAAGGCAGUAACAGAGAGAUAAGGUCGAGAAUAACCACCCAUUCCACAGACUAAUAAAGAAUUUAUCUCUUUGCAACUAACAUAGUUUGAAAUGGGAGAUACGGGCUCUUGGAGAGAGUUUUUUCUGGGGUUCUGAAAAGGUCAGAUCCUAUCAAAACACAAUCCACUCACUCAAACAUUUCAGCGUACUCACAUUCUGAGUACUACUGUUUAGUAUGAAAAGAAUUCCAGUGUUACAUGAAGUAAAAAUGGAUUAUCUCAAUCCUCAUGGAAUAUAACGGGACUUGACCAGCAUUUCCUUUUUUUUUUUCCUUCAGUAACUCACUUAUAAGGAAUAAUAGGGUCCUAAUGAGGAUUAAGAUUUAAUAAGGUGUAAUUAGAGUUGUUCAUUUCUUCCAUCAUAUACAUUAUAAGAGUACUGUGCCGGAUCCAGAAAUGCUACUAAUUAUGUUGAAACUGUUGUAUGGGUGUGUUGGGGAAGUCACUGUGUUUCUCCUCCUGAAAUGUUUAUGAAUUGCUCAGGUGAGCAUGGUGAGCAUGGUGUUAGCAUGAACAUCAUAUAAAGUUAACUACAAAAGAUAAUUCUGACUCAUGAGGAACUUCCCAAGAGUACAACCACCCAAGUCAUAAUCUGGAUGCUUAGUGAACUGCAUACAGUGUUGUCGUCAGUGCUAACCCUACCAAAAGCCUCAUUCCCAUUUACUGUUCUGGUUUCUUUCGUACUCUUACUUUUCUCAACCUCCUGUUACAACUUUCUACGUGCAGGCGCUUGCGUGAAAUGGAAAGGUUGUAUGAAUUUGCACUCAGUGGUAGAAAAAUACUGGUUUACCAAUUCAGAGGCUAAAACACAGAAUUUCAGGUGUAGUGUGGGGUCGUUUGGGCCAAGGAUAGCACACUGGUGGCCUAAAGGCUACCAGCAGCAUUUUCAUGGGUUCAGUAAUGGCAUAAAAGACUUUUAGGCAAGCUGGGCUUGGGUCCUGCCUUUCGUUUGCAUCCAUUACAGUCCUGUACACGUGGCCUUUGUGUAGCUCAUGCCAGUCCUUAUUUGGAGUUUUCAUAUACAUUUCACUUAACUCUCACAAGACCCCUUCUGAGGUUGGCAUUAUUAUUUUUUUAUUUUAUCCAUGAAGAAACUAAAGCCCUAAAGCCCAGGGAGUUUAAGUACUAGCUCUGUGUUAAGAGCUGAGUAAGCUCAUUUUUUUUUUUUUUUUUCUUUUUUUGAGGUGGAGUCUUGCUCUGUCGCCCAGGCUGGAGUGCAGUGACGUGAUCUCUGCUCACUUCAAGCUCCACCUCCUGGGUUCACACCAUUCUCCUGCCUCAGCCUCCUGAGUAGCUGGGACUACAGGCAUUCGCCACCACGCCCGGCUAAUUUUUUUUUUUUUUUUUUUUGUAUUUUUAGUAGAGACGGGGGUUUCACCAGGUUAGCCAGGAUGGUUCGAUCUCCUGACCACGUGAUCUGCCCUCCUCGGCCUCCCAAAGUGCUGGGAUUACAGGCAUGAGCCACUGCACCCGGCCCCAAGCUGAGUAAGCUCUUACUCAGCUGAGGGUAGGUAAGCUAAGAUUCCACACUGAUCCCUGGCAACCUGGCACCUUGCUCACCCACUGUUGAGUGACCAUCUGCUCUCAGUUUGAACACUCAAGCGUAGGGAACUUAUGAUCUCCUACAGCUGAGCAAGAGGAAAAGUUCUGAAGAGGCUAUUAGAAAAAUAAUAAGAAUAAGAGGGCCAUGGGUGAUAGAAGGUAAAUACCCAUCUGCUGUUGCCUCUGAGAGCCUAAAACCUAUCAGGCCAAAUGCCUCUAGUAUGGUUUGCACGGACCUUCAUAAUUUGGCACCUACUUGUCCCUUCAGCCUCAUUUCUUCCAGGCCUUUAUGUGCCCCCACCCUCCACCCUCCUUCUAGUAGUUUUCCAAGCACAUCUUACCUCUCCCUGCUUAUCUCUGUUUGCAUAUCUUCCCUUUUCCCUCGGGAGUCCUCAGCCUUCUCUUUCAGAUAACUUCAAGUGACGGGGCCUGAAUGCAAGCAGACCAAUGAGAGUUGCCCAGGCAUUUGGAAGUAGCAAUCAAGACUAGCAUGGGGGCCAGGUGCGGUGGCUCACGCCCGUAAUCCCAACACUUUGGGAGGCCGAGCCAGGCGGAUCACCUGUGGUUGGGAGUUUGAGACCAGCCUGGCCAACAUGUGAAACCUCGUCUCUACUAAAAAUACAAAAAUUAGCAGGGCAUGGUAGUACACGUCUAUAAUCCCACCUACUCGGAAGGUUGGAGCACAAGUAUCACUUGAACCUGGGAGGUGGUGGUUCCGGUGAGCGAAGAUCACUGAUUUUUCAUAAGUGUGUUUGAUCUCCUCCAUGCAAAUAUAGGAUUCUUUAUAGUCGUCUUCAUGUCUUGUUCAUUUCUCUUCCCCAGCAGCCAAGGCAGUACCUGGCACUUGCAACCAAAUGCACUCUAGCCUGGUUGACAGAGCAAGACUCUGUCUCAAACAAACAAACAAACAAACAAACUAGCAUGGAGAGGGACACAAGAGAGAAAUGUUUAUGGUCCUUGCCUUACCCUAAAUUACUGUGCAACCUUUUGGCAAGUCACUUCCUCUCUAUUCUGAGUUUCUUUAUCUAUUCAAUUGGGUUCUUAGAUUUGGUGGUCUCUAACACUCUCCCAGUUUUUCAAUUUGAUGUUACAUUCUACCCAGUGACCAAAUUCAUAUUCCAGAAGCAUAGUAUGCUAUGUCAUACCGCAAAUCUUGUAAACGUUCCUGAUAUGGUUUGGCUGUGUCCCCACCCAAAUCUCAUCUUGAAUUGCAGUUCCCAUAAUCCACACAUGUAACAGGAGGGACCAGGUGGAGCUAAUUGAACCAUGGGGGCGAUCUCCCCCCACCUGUUCUUGUGAUAGUGAGUUAGUUCUCAUGAGAUCUGAUGGUUUUAUAAGGGUCUUUCCCCUUCACUGGGCACUCAUUCUUCUGCCUCCUGUUGCCACAUGAGGAAGGACAUGUUUGCUUCCCCUUCUGCCAUGAUUGUAAGUUUCCUGAGGCCUCCCAGCUAUGCUGAACUGAGAGUCAAUUAAACUUUUUUCCUUUAUAAAUUUCCCAGUCUUGAGUAUGUCUUUAUUAGCUGUGUGAUAAUGGACUGAUAGGGUUCAAUAAUAUCAACCAAAUUAAGUUCAUACCCUGCAGCUUCCCCUUCCUCAUUUCAUGAUCAAAUCCUGAUGGCCUUUUCCAACUAUAAGUUGUACCUCCAACACCCCCUCCUCCACCACACACAUACACACACACACACACACACACACACACCACUUCCUUUACUUCCUGCCUCUGGGCUUUUGCACGUUUAGUUUUCUCCUCUUGAACCUAAAAGACUUUCCAGGGCCAUCUCUGAAUCUGCAGAUUCUACAUGUCCAGCCAACCCCCUCCCAUUGCCCAUUCCUUCCAAACUCCCUCCAUUAAUAUGAAAAUAACUUCUCUAUUUUCUCAAAAAGAUACCCAUCUCAUUAUCCCAAUGCAUUACAACUUUUCAUCAGUGUGUUUGAUCUCCUCCAUGCAAAUAUAGGAUUC